CUGUCCCAUUUGGUCUUGAUUACCUGAAUUUUUCUGCGAUCACAGAAUUCUCUCAUUGUGCCUUGCCGACAUCCGAAACAGCAAGUGGCCUGCCUGGCAUUGAAAAGGAAAAAGUUUCUGGAGGACGCACCUGGAGCCGGAAGCCUUGAAGUGCUGUGGGUCUGGGGCUUGUGAAGGAAAGCUGGGAUGGGGGAGGGCUGGGGGAAGGCAGCGGACUGGCCCCGAGGGCCAGAGACAGUCUCCCCGAUGUCAGGGAGCAUGAGAGUUGCCCACCCUGGGCACUUGGGGUCCUCUCUGGCCCCAACUGAGAAGCCUCCAUUGUUGCCUUUCCCAAGCCCCCAGGCCUGAAAGCUAGAGGACCAGGGAGAAUAAAAGAGUCUGGGCAAAAGGCUCCAAGGCAGUUCAAAGAAGAGAGAGACUGGGGAUGAAGGUUUCAAGCCACAUCCAAGGGGAGGGCUUUUCAUCUGCCAGCCUUUGAAUCGGGAAUCAAGGCGGGCAAAGUUACUACCAGGUUAAAGUUUAAAUGGCACAGAAAGGGGAGACGGGAAGAUGAAACAACGGCCGUCUGGCCAGGGGAACAAAGCCGGAGCCCAGCCCGGGCACCUGGCCGCAGAGGCACCCGGCUGCAGCGGUCCCAGCAAGGAGAGGCUGUGACGCUCCCAUUGUUCGGCUGAAGAAGGAAAGUAAUUGAAAGGAAAGGUGAGGCAAGGAGAGGCAGCCGGCGUGUGUGACUGCCUGGAUCGUUAGAAAAUAAUUUAAAGGGAACAGGCUUAUCAAGCAGUUUCUCUUAUGGAAAUGCCAUCAUUGAAGAGAAAGGAAGAGGAGGGUGGGGGAAGCCUUUUCAUUCUUUGAAAAGAGUGAGUUUUUUUUUUUUUCCACUCACCAAGUGCAGACUUGAAUGUCAUGUGAAAUCUCUUCUAUUUGCAAACUUGCUUCACUCCCUAACUUCCCCAGGGUUGGGAGUCCUCUCUAGCACCUUGGGGGCUGGGGGAGCUGGGGCUUUUGGAGGGACCACAUGGCUGCAUCUGCACAGGUGUUUCAUUCUGAGACAGGUUCCCUGCUUCCUAGGGAAUCAUGGUCUCUGUUCAACCUCCUGGCUGGUUCUGCCUGUCCUCCUUGCUACCAACUGUGAUUUCUGCGGUCCUAGAGAUAAGUACAGGUAAGUUAGCAUCCUAUGCUAACAGGUGCAUCUUACACCCACACCUUCCCAGAUGAAACUUCCCCGUUCCCACUAUCUGACUGGACACAGAGGAAUAUCCCUGAUAACAUCUCCUGGAACUGAAACAUGUUCAUAAUUGUCAACAUUAAUCAAGCACAUAUUAUGUGCCAGAUAAAGUCUAGUAAGCGAGACCUAGAUCCCUGCGUUUAGGAACCUGAAGUCUAGAUGGGAAGGUGAGAAAAUAAGCAAAAACAAUUCAGACUGAGAAGAACUAUGGCAGAGGAAGCCUGGUGGCUGUGGGGCUGUUUCACCUGGUCUAUGGACCAUCAAGGAAACCUACCCGAGGAGGGGACGCUGGAGUUGAGUUGGGAAGAGUCAUUAGCUGCUAAGGAGGGGGAUUUUACUUCCAGCCAAGAUGCAGUUGCAUGGACCAGACCUACCUUCUUGCCCAAAACAAUAAAAAAAUAUGAAACAAUUGUUUGGGAGACAUUGGACAUCAAGACAUGAAUGGCAGUGUUCCCUGAGAAAUGGAAAUCUGAUGGGAUGAGCCUUAUGACUGCUCCAGCUCACUGCUUUAAGUGAGUUUCCAGGCCACAGCAUGGGGAGGAGAAUGUAGGGGGAGACUGGCAGACCUCCUGUGUUGAGGUGACAGAGCUGAGAAGCUGGAGACCUAGGUGGCUAGAGUUUGCAGGGGAGGGGAUCUGACAGGAGAAAGUUCAACACCGAGAAAACUCUGGAGAUAUGCAAAGGGAUACCCUUCUCAAGUAUUCAAAGAAUAUCAGCCAGCCCACAUGUGUGGGGAAAAUAAGUGACACCCAGGAAUGAACCACCUGAAGGGUCAGAGUGAAGAGUAACUGCAUCCAGAAUAAAUCACAAGAAUAUUUACAGGAGUAGAAAAAUAUCCAGGGGCCCCUGGGUGGCUUAAUUGGUUAAGUGUCCAACUUUUGGUUUUGGCUCAGGUCAUGAUCUCACACUUCGUGAGUUUGAGCCCUGCAUCGGGCUCCGUGCUGAUGGUGCAGAGCCUGCUUGGGAUUCUCUCUCUCUCUCUCUCUCUCUCUCAAAAAAAAAAAAAAAAGAGAGAGAGAGAGACAGAAAAAUAUCGGCUCCCAGAGAGGUAAAAUACAUUAUGUCUGGCAUCCAUUUACAAAUUACCAGGUGUGUAAAGAAGCAGGAAAGUAUGACCCAGGAUGAAGGAAAAUGGCUGAGUCAGAACUGACCUAGAACUGAUGCAGAUGUUAGAAUUAGCAGACAAGGACAUUAAACCAGUUCUUACGAUCCGAUUCCAUAUGUUCAAACAGUUAGAGACACUGAAGGCAUGAAGAAGACCCAGAUCAAACUAGUAGAAAUGAAGGCUCUGGUGAUGGAGACUGACAAGCAUGGUGGAUGGGGUUAACAGGACAUUACACAUUGUGGGAUGAAAGACCAGUGGACUUGAAGACAAAGCAGCAGGAACUAUCCAAAAUGAAACAAAGAGGGAAAAAAUAAUACAAAGAAAGACAGUAAAUAGCAUAAGCAAAUUGUAAUGAGAGGCACCUAUAAUGAGAGUGCCUUAAGAAGAGGGUGUGUGCUGUGAACAUAUUUGAAAUAAUAAUGGCUCAAAUUUUCCCAAACUUUAUGAGAGGUAUAAACCCAUGGAUCCAAGAAGCUCAAUGAACUCUAAGCACAGGAAACAUAAAGAAAACUACCUCCAAAACCACCAUAACCCAAUUGCUCGAAACCAGUCAUAAAGAGAAGAGUUUUAAAGAAGGAGAAGAAAAAAAAAAGACAUUAUGUACAGAGAAACAAAGGAUUACAGCAGAUUUCUCACAAGAAUCAAUGCAAAUGAGAAGACAGUGGAGCAGCAUCUUUCAAAACAAGUCAGAAAUAUUGUGGGUUCAGGUACAGAUCACUACAAUAAAGGGAAUAUCACAGUAAAGUGAGUCAAAGGAAGGUUGUGGUUUCCCAGGGUGUAUGGAAGUUUGUUUGUACUGUUCUGUAGUCUGUUAAGUGUGCAAUAGCAUUAUUAAGUGUGCAGUAGCGUUAUGUUUAGUCUAUUAAGUGUGCAAUAGCGUUAUGCACAUACCUCAGUUUAAAAAUACUUUAUUGCUAAAAAUUGUUAACUACCAUCUGAAAUUUAAGCAAGCCAUAAUCACUGAUCAUGGAUCGCCAUAACAAAUAUAAUAACAAUGAAAAGGUGUGAGAUAUGGUGACAUGUGACACAGACACACAAAGUGAGCAAAUGCAGUUGGAAAAAUGGUGCUCAAUGCAGGGCUGUCACAGACCUUCAAUUUGUAAAGCAGACUAAAACAACACAACAUCUGCAUAGUGCAGUAAAGUGAAAUGCAAUACAACAAGGUAUGCCAAUAUUGAAAGAAAAUUGAAAGCACUGUCAACUCAGAAUUCUAUACCUGUGAAAAUAUUCUUCAAAAACGAAGGCAAGAGAGAAUGAAUCCUGAAAAUACAGUGAAGUAGGAAGCACAAGGAAUCUGUCUCCCCACCUAGAUGAUAAUUACACCGGCAGAAUCUUUCUGAUACAACUAUUUUGGAACUCUGAAGUCUAUUGAAGCCUUACCACUUCCGAGGGAAGGCUCAGAUGGUAAAUUGUAGUUAACUUUGGCCAAUUUUAGCUUGUAGCAUGGUAGCAGCUAUCCAUCUCUCACUCUCAGCCCUGUGGCAGGCAGUCAUACCCAUGUUUUUCAAUGCAGCUUGAACUCAGCUUAUGGGAGCCAGGGUGGGCAGACAGGACCCUGUCCUCCAAAUCUUGGAAUCUGUGCUCUGAUUGCUAAUUGCAGCUUUUAUUCACAGAGGUACAAACAAGAAGUGGGCAACAUUUUUUGUUGCACCUCUCCUCAUUGUGAAAAGCACCUCCUCCAUUAGCUGAAGUUACUUCCAGGAGAUUUAAAAGCUUACACACUUUCCCCACCUUUUCAUUUUUCUCUUUUCCUCCUUUUGGAAGCCAGCCAUUAGAGUCUAGGACAUCCAUAAGCAACAACUGGAUAUACAGGGAAAGUUACAAAAUGACAACACUUGCCUAGGGAAAGACAUAAACUUGGAAGAAAACCUGGAAAGACAUCAAAUUUUCACUUCAGGCUAAUGCUUAGUACAAAGACAGUCUACAAUAAUAAAGAAGCAAAACAAGAAACAAUGGCAACAAACAGCAAACCAUAAGGAAGAGAGAGAAUCUAGUUUUUAGUAUUACCACAUUAUUAGAUUUGAAUGCCAAGUUUUCAACAAAAACAUCACAAAGCAUACAAAAAAAAAAUUACCACAAGAAUGUAUGGUCCAUUCAAAGGGAAAAUUAAAUAAAUAAACAGAAACUGUCCUUAAAAGGGAAUAAAGGCAGAUUUACUAAAUAAUUUAAAGCAACUGUCAUAAAGGUGUUCAAAGAACUAAAAGAACAUGUGGAGAAAGUCGAGGAAAUGACGUAUGAAGAAAGUGGAAAUAUCAAAGAUAGAAAACCUAAAAAGAGGGGUGCCUGGGUGGCUCAGUCAGUUAAGUGUCUGACUCUUGGUUUUGGCUCAGGUCAUGAGUUUGAGCCCCUCACAGUUCAUGAGUUUGAGCCCCACAUCAGGCUCUGUGCUGGCAGUGUGAAGCCUUUUUGGGAUUCUCUUUCUCUCCCUCUCUCUCUGCCCCUCCCUGCUCAUGCUCUCUCUCUUUUUUUCAAAAAUAGGUAAAUAAACACAAAAAAAUGAGGACAACCCUCAUCUAGUUAAUUAACACAUCCAUCACCUCACAUAUUUAAAACAAAACAAAACAAACCUAAAAAGAAAACCAAAAAGAAAUUCUGGAGCUGAAAAGUACAAUAAUUGAAAUGAAAAAUUCACUGGAUGGAUUCAAAGGCAUAUUUGAGCAGGCAGGAGAAAGAAUUAGCAAACUUGAAGGUGGGACAGUGGAAAUUAUUGAAUCUGAGGAACUGAAAGAGGAAAGAAUCAAGAAAGUGAACAGAGCUUAUGGGACCUGUGGAGCACCAUCAAGUGGAAGCAUAAUUAUUGUGGGUGGGAAUCCCAGAAAGAGAGAGAGAGAAGGGGGCAGAGAGAAAAGGUGAAGAAAUAAUGGCUGAAAACUUCCCAAAUUUAAUGAAAUACAUGAAUAUAAAUGACCAAGAAGCUCAACAAACUCCAAGUAAGAUGAAUUCAAAGAGACCCACACAGAGACAUAUUGUAUUCAAACUUACAAAAACCCAAAAACAAAUAAGAAAAUCUUGAAAGCAGCAAGAAAGUAGUGAAUCAUCAGAUACAAGGGAUCUUCAAGAAGAAUAUUAGCAUAUGUCUUAUCAGAAGCUUUGGAGGCCAGUAGGCAAUGGGCCAGUAUAUUCAAAGUGCUAAAAGAAAAACUGUCAACAAAGAACCUGAUAUCUGGCAAGAGUGUUCUUCCAAUGUGAGGGAGAAAUUCUCAGAUGAACAAAAACUGAGUGAGUUCGUGACCACGGGACCUGCCCUCUAAGAAAUGCUCAGGUGAAAUGAAAGGACCCGAGAUAGUAACUUGAAGCCAUAUGAAGAAAUAAAGAUCUCAAUGAAGGUUAAUACAUGGGAAAUUAUAAAAGCUAGUAUUACUGUAUCAAUGGUUUUUAACUCAGCUGUUUGUUUGGUUCAUGAUUUAAAAGAUCAGUACAUUAAAAACAACUAAGAGUCUAAAAGUGUUAUUUUAACUUUAGUUUGUAACUUCACAUUUUGUAUUCUACAUAACUUGAGACACUAGUGUAGUUAAAAGAAUAAUUAAUUUAUGUUAUUUAAAGAUAUAAUUUUGUGAAAUCAACAACUGAAAGGGGAUGGGGACAGAGUUGCAAAAUGGCAGUUUUUGUAUGAUUGAAGUUAAGCUGGUAUAAGUUAAAAUUAGAGUGUUAGAACUUGAGGAUAUUAAAAAUAAUCCCUAUGAUAACCACAAAGAAAAGAACUAUAGAAUAUAAACACCGGGAAAUGGGAAAGGAACUUAAACAAUUUCACUACAAAAAAAACCCAAAAAACAAAAAAAGAAGACACAACUAAACACAAAAGAAGAUAGUAGGGCAGGAAAUGAGAGACAAACUUUAAGUAAUAUAGGAAACAAAUAGCAAACCAAGAGCAGUUCGUUCUUAUCAGUAAUUGCUUUAAAUGUAAAUAGAUUAAACUCUCUAAUCCAAAGACAGAAAUUGGAAGAAUGGAUAAAAACAUGAUGUAUGCUCUACAAGGGACACACUUUAGAUCCAAAGAUGGAAAUAGAUUGAAGUAAAAGGAUGGAAAUAGAUAUUCCUUGCAAAUAGUAAGCAAAAGAGAGCAGUCGUGGCUAUACUAAUAUCAGAAAAAAAUAGACUUCAAAACAAAAAAGAUCCAGGGAGGAAGAAGGAUAUUAUACAUUAAUAAAAUGUUCAAUACAUCAGGAAGAUAAGCAAUUAUAAACACAUGUUCAACUAAUAACAGACCAUCAAAAUAUCAAAGUAAAAACUGACAGAAUUGAAGGGAAAAAUAGUUUUAAAAUAAUAGAUGGUGAUAUCAAUACUCCACUCUCAAUAGUGGACAGAACAACCAGACUAAAGAUAAGUAAGGAAAUUUAGAGCUUAACAAACACAGUAAACCAAUGAGGUAUAACAGACAUGUUUACCCAAUAACUUUCCCCAAUAACUAUAGUAUACACAUUCUUCUCAAGUGUACAUGGGAAAUUUUCUAAGAUAGACCAUAUGUUAGGCCACAAAUUGAAUCCAGUAGAUUUUAAAAAGAUGGAUGUUAUACGAAUCAUCUUCUCUGACCACAACAAGAUGAAAUUAUAAAUCAACAACAGAAGUAAAACUGGAAAAUUCACAAACUUGUGGAAAUUAAACAACAUACUCUUAAACAACCAAUGGGCCAAGGAAGUAACUACAGGGGAGAGUCACCUGGGUGUCUCAGUCGGUUGAGUGUCUGACUUUGGCUCAGGUCAUGAUCUUGUGGUUCAUAAAUUCAAGCCCUACACCGGGCUUUCUGCUGUCAGUGCAGAGACUGCUUCAGAUCUUCUGUCCCCCUCUUUCUCUUUCUGCUCUUCUCCUGUUUGUGCUCUCUCUCUCUCAACAAUAAAUAAACAUAAAAACAAAGAAAUCACAGGUGAAAUUAGAAAACAGAGGCCAAUGAAAAUAAAAACUCAAAAAUCAAAACUUAUGGAACACAGGGAAAACAGCAUUAAGGGGGGAAUUUGUAGCUAUAAAUGUUUACAUUAAAAACCAAGAAAGAUCUCAAAUCAACAACCUAGCUUUACACCUUAAGCAACUAGAAAAAACAAACAAACAAAUUGAAUCCAAAUCUAGGAAAGAAGGAAACAAUAAAGAUUACAGCAGAGAUAAAUAGAGAAGAAAACAGAAAAACAAUAUAGAAAAUAAAUUAAACCAAAAGUUAGUUCUUGGAAAAGAUCAACAAAUUGAUAAAAGUUUAGCCUGAUAGACUGAAAAAAAAGAGAGAAGACUCAAAUUACUAAAAUCAGAAAUGAAAAUGGGGACAUCACUAUUGACUUUACAGAAAUAAAAAGGAUUAUAAGAGAACUAUGAAUAAUUGUAUACCAACAAACUGGAUAGUCUAGAUGGAAUGGACAAACUCUUUUUUUUCUUUUCAAUUCUCAUUUAUUUUUGGCUCUUGGUGGAAUGGACAAACUCUUAGAAACACAAACCUACCGAGACUAAAACAUGAAGAAAGAAAUUUUGAAUACACUUAUAACAAGUAAGGAGAUUGAAUCAGUAAUCAAAAAUCUCUUGACAAAUAAGAGGCUUGAACCUGAUGGUUUCACUGGUGAAGUCCACCAAAUACUUAAAAAAAACCAAUGUUCUCAAACUGUUCCAAAAAAUUAAAGAAGUGAGGAACACUUCCAUAACUUAUCCUGUGAGACCAAUACUUCUCUGAUACCAGAACAAGACACACAGUACAAGAAAAGAAAACUAUAGGCCAAUAUCUCUCAUGAACACUGAUGCAAAAAUCUUCAACAAAAUACUUGCAAAUCAAUACUAACAACAAAUAAGAAGGAUUAUACCCUAUGACCAAAUGGAAUUUAUUUUCGGAAUUGCAAGGAUGAUCCAACAUAGGACAAUUAAGCAAUGUGAUAGACCACAUUAACGGAAGGAAAGGGAAAAGCUGCGUGAUCAUCUCAACUGAUGCUGAAAAAAAUCUUUAACAAAAUUCAACACUGCUUCUGGAUAAAAGCAUUCAACAUACUUUACUAGGUAUAGAAGGGGACUAUCUCAACAUAGUACAAAGCCUUAUAUAAAAAAUCCAUAGUGGACAUCUUAAUUCAUGGUGAAAGACUGAAAGCUUUUCCUCUAAGAUCAGGAACAAGCCAAAUACGCCCACUUUUGCCAUUUCUAUUUUACAUAGUCCUGGAAGUUACCAGAGCAAUUAGACAAGAAAAAAAAAUUAAAAGACACUCAAACUGGAAAGGGAAAAGUAAAAUGAUCUCUGUUCACAGAUGAUACAAUUUUAUAUGUAGAAAACUCUAAAGAUUCCACAAAAAAUGUUAAAACUAAUAAAUGAAUUUAGCAAAGUAGCAGUAUACGAAGUCAGCACACAAAAAUCACUUGCUUUUCUAUGCAUGAGCUAUUUAUAAUCUAAAAAGGAAAUGAAAAAAAUCAUUCUAUUUAUAGUAGCAUCAAAAAGAAUAAAAUACUUAGGAGGUACAAAACACUGCUAGGAACAUAGCUGAAAACUACAAAACAUUGCUGAAAGAAAUUAAAGAAUAAAUAAAUUGAAAAACAUCUUGUAUUCAUGGUUGGAAGACUUAAUAUUCUUAAAAUGUCAGUGCUAACCAAAAUGAUCCACAGAUUCAAUGCAAUCUCCAUCAAAUGGCAUUUUUAACAAAAAGAAAGCCCAUCAUAAAAUUUAUAUAGAAUCUUAAGGGACCUUGAGUAGCCAAACAAUCUUGAAAAAGAAGAACAAAACUGGAAGACUCACAGUUCCUUAUUUCAAAACUUACUACAAAGCUAUGGUAAUGAAAACAGUGUGAUGUUGGCAUAAAAAUGCAUAUAGUCAGUGGAAUAGAAUAAAAAGCUCAGAAAUAAACCUUCACGUGUAUACUCAAAUAAAUUUUGACAAGGGAGCCAAGUCUAUUCAAUAGGGAAAAACAGUCUUUUCAACAGAUGGUGCUCUAAAAACUGGAUAUUCACACAUAAAAAAUGAAGUUGGACAUCUACCUAACACCAUAUUAAAAAAAAGUAACUCAAAAUGGAUGAAGGACCUACAUGUAACACCUAAAGCAAUAAAACUCUUAGAAGAAAACAGAACAAAAGCUUCACAACCUUGUAUUUGGCAAUGAUUUCUUGGAUAUCACACCAAAGGCACAAGUAACAAAAUAAAAAAUAGAUAUUUUUAGACUUUAUGAAAAUUGAAAAAAUUUUGUGCAUUGGAAGAUACAGUCAACAGGGGAUUAAGGAGUACACUUGUCAUGGUGAGCACUGGAUGAUAUAUGGAAGUGUUGAAUCACUAUAUUGUACACCUGAAACUAAUAGAACACUAUAUGUUACAUAACUGGAAUUAAAAUAAGAACUUAAAAUAAAAAAACUCAAUAUGAAUAAAAUGAUGCUUUUCUUUGGAAAUUGAUUCCACACACACACACACACACACACACACACACACACACACAAAGACAACAUCAACAGUGUAAAAAGGCAACCCACAGAAUGGGAGAAAAUAUUUUCAAAACAUAUGUCCAAUAGGGAUUAAUAUUCAGAACAGAGAACUCAGCCUCCCAAAUCAAAGAACCCAAUUAAAAAAUGGGCAAAGGGCUCAAAUAGUUAUUUCUCCAAAGAAGGUAUUUAAAUAGCCAGUAAGCGCAUAAAAAGAUGUUUCAACAUCACUAAUCAUCAGAGGGAUGCAAGUCGAAAGUACAAUGAGAUACACCUCACACCCAUUGGGAUGGCUACUGUAAAAAAAAGAAAGUGAACACCUAGUGUUGGUAAGGAUGUGGAGAAAUUGUAAUCCUUGGGCAUAUUGGUAGGAACGCAAAGUGUUUCAGCUACUGUGGAAAACAGUAUGGUUAUUCCUCAAAAAACUAAGAAUAUAAUUAUAUAUGAUUCAGCAAUUCUAUUUCUGGGUAUAUAUUCAAAAGAAUUGAAAGCAAGAUCUCAAAGAGACAUCUGCACACGCAUGUUCAGUGCAGAGUUAUUCACAGUAUGUGAAACAGGGAGGCAAUCCAAGGGUCUAUCAAUGGAUGAGCAGAUAAGCAAAAUGUGGUAUAUACGUAAAGUGGAAUAGUAUUCAGCUUUAAAAAGGAAGGAAAUUCUGAUAUAAACAACAACAUGGAUGAAUCUUGAGGGCACUAUUCUAAGUAGAAUAAGCCAGUCACAAAAAGACAAAGACUCUAUGAUUCCACUUAUAUGAGGUACUUAGAGUAAUGAAAAUCACAGGGACAGAAAGUAGAAUGGGGUUGUCAGGUCCUCGGGGAGAAGGGGAUGGGAGGUUAUUGUUUAAUGGUGUAGACUUUCAGUUUCCCAAGGUGGAAGAAUUCUGGAGAUGGAUGGUGGAAACAGUUGCGCAACCCAUGAAUGUAUUCAAUAUCAUUGAACUGUACACUCAACACUCAAAAUGGUUAAGAUGGUAAAUUUCAUGUUAUGGGUAUUUUACCACAAUAAAAAAAAAUGGAGGCAAAAAUAGACUUUUUUUUAGACAUACAAAAGCCUAAGGACUCCAUUUUCAAUACAAAGACACAAGUAGGUUAAACACCAAAAUGAGCACAACUAUAAAGAAGGUUCUUUUAUAAUAAGAAAGGGUUCAAUACAUCAAGAGGACAUAACAAUCAUAAAUUUUUAUAUACCUAUUAACUGAGAUUCAAAUUAUAUGAAGCAAAAACUAAUAGAACUACAAGGAGAAAUAGAAAAAUCUACAAUUAUAGCCAGAGGUUCUGAUACCUUUCUGUUAGCACUUAAUGAAAGGCAUACACAUUAGUGAGAGUGUAGAAGGCUUGAGCAGCACUGCUAACCAACUUGACCUCAUUGAGAUUUACAGAAGACUCCACCCAACAAGGGCAGAAUACACAUGCUUUUCAAGGGUAAGUGCACAUGGAAUAUUGACCAUGCUAAUCUAUCUUCUGAGCCAUAGGUUGAGUCUGGAUAAACUUAAAAGGAUUUAAGUCAUACUACAUGUUUUCAGCUCACAAUGGAAUUAAAUUAGGAAUGAGUAACAGGAAGAUCUCUGGAAAGACCACAAAUAUUUGGAAACAAAAUGGCUUACUUAGAAGUAACCCUCAGAAGAAAUCAAAAAGGGAAAAAUCACUAAGGUGUUUUUUUGAAUGAAAAUGAUGAAAUGCUACAUCACCGCUUGUGGGAUGCUCCAAAGCUGUACUUACAGGGACGUUGAUAGCACUAGAUGCCUCCGUCAGAAAGGAAGAGCGUUCCCAAACCAAUGAUCUCCUCGUUUGCCUUAAAAAACUAGAAACAGAAGAGCAAAUUAAGCUGAAAGUGAGCAGAAUAAAGCAAAUAUAAACAUCAGAGUGGAAAUCAAUGAACUAGAAAUAGAGGAAAUGAAUGAAGCCAAAAGCUAGUUCUUUUAAGAGAUCAGUAAGAAUAGUAAACCUCUAAUCAGACUGAUAAAAAUAAAGAGGGGGGACAGUAAUUGCCAAUAUCAGUAAUGAGAGUGUUAAUGUCACUACAGACUUUGGAGAUGUUAAAAAGACAAUAAGAGUCUUAUGAACAACUCUGUCAUUACAUUCAAUAUUUCAGAUGAAAUGAACAAAAUCCUUGAAAGUCACAAGCUACAAAAUCUCAUCCAAGAAGAAGUAGGUAACCUGAAUUUCUCCAUAUCUUUUAAAAUAAUUGAAUUUGUAAUUAAAAACAUUCCCACAAAGAAAACUGCAGGCCCUGGUGCUUCACUAGUGAAUUCUAUCAAACAUUAAAAAAAGAAAUAACACCAAUUCUACACAACUCUUCUAGAAAAUUGAAGAGGAGGGAAUAUUAUUACCACCUCAUCCUAUGAGGUUAGCAUUACCCUGAUAUCAAAACCAGAGAGAAGCACUGCAAUAAAAGGAGGCUACCGACCAAUUCCUUCAUGAAUUAUAUGUAUUUUACCACAUUAAAAAAUGAAGGCAAAAUAGACUUUUUCAGGCAUGCAAAAGCUAUUGACUAAUAUCCUUCAAGUUUAGAUGUAAAAAUUUUAAGCAAAAUUUUAGGAAAUUGAAUCCAGUAACAUUUACAAAGGAUAAUACAUCAUGAUUAAGAUGGUUUAGCAUUUGAAAAUUAAUCAAUGCGAUUGACCAUAUUCAAGAACUAGGCACAAAACUCUAUAUGAUCACUUUAACAGACACAGAAAAAGCACUUAAUAAAAUUCAAUAUCAUUUCCUGAUUAAAAAAAAUAAUCCUCAACAAAUUAGGCAUAGACGGGGACUUCUUUAACUUGAAAAACCUACAGCUAAUAUCACAUUUAAUGAUGAAAGACUAAAUGCAUUCCUCCUAAGAUAAAGAAGAAGACAAGGAUGUCCACUCUCACCGCUUCUAUUUAAUUCUGUACUGGAGGUUCCAGCCAGUGAAAUAGGGAAGAGAGUGGGGAAAGGAGAGAGAGAGAAGGAGGGAGGGAGGAAAAGAGAAAGAGAGAGACAGAGAGAAAAAAGAGAGAAGGAAGAGAGAAGAAACAGGAGAAUGGAAGAAAAGGAGGAGAAGGAGAGAGAGGAGGAGAGGAAGAAGGAGGAGGAGAGGGAGAAGAAGAUUGGAAGGAAUGGAGGAGGAGGAGGGAGAGGGGAAGGAAGAGGGAGAAGGGAGGAGGGNCAUUUAAUGAUGAAAGACUAAAUGCAUUCCUCCUAAGAUAAAGAAGAAGACAAGGAUGUCCACUCUCACCGCUUCUAUUUAAUUCUGUACUGGAGGUUCCAGCCAGUGAAAUAGGGAAGAGAGUGGGGAAAGGAGAGAGAGAGAAGGAGGGAGGGAGGAAAAGAGAAAGAGAGAGACAGAGAGAAAAAAGAGAGAAGGAAGAGAGAAGAAACAGGAGAAUGGAAGAAAAGGAGGAGAAGGAGAGAGAGGAGGAGAGGAAGAAGGAGGAGGAGAGGGAGAAGAAGAUUGGAAGGAAUGGAGGAGGAGGAGGGAGAGGGGAAGGAAGAGGGAGAAGGGAGGAGGGAGGAGGAGGGAAGGAAGGAAGAAAUAAAGAGAAAGAAAGAAAAAAGAAAGGGCAUCUAUAUUGGGAAAGAAGCAAAAAUAUCUUUAUUUGCAGAUGACAUGGUUGUCUAUGUAGAAAGUCUGAUGGAAUCUAUAAUACAGCCACAAUAGACUUAAUAAGACUGUUUGGCAGGGUUGCAGGAUACAAGAUCAAUAUACAGAAAUUAAUUGUAUUUUUAUAUACUGGCAAGGAACAAUAAGAAACUAAAAUUAAAAAAUACCACUUAUACUAAUAUCAAGAAAACGUGAAAUACUUAGGGGUAAAUCUGACAAAGACACACAAAAGCUGAAAACUACAAGAUGUUGCUGAGAGAAAUUAAAGAAGACCUAAAUAAAUAGAGAGCUAUGCCUUGUUCAUGGGUCAGAAGACUCAGUAUUUUUAAGAUGUUAGCUCUUCCCAAAUUUAUCUACAGAUCCAAAGCAAUCCCAAUCAAAAUCCCUGCGGGAUUUUUUUUUUGUUGAAAUUGACAGACUCAUUCUAAAAUUCAUUCAGAAGUGCAAAGGGGGAAAUAGAACAGCCAAAACAACUUCGCAAAAGGCAGAUUUAGGGAUUAAGAUGACCUGAUUUCAAGACUUAAAAAAAAGCCACAGUCAUGAAGAGAGUGUGGUACUGGCGUAAAGAUCAAGGAUGAAUGAAACAGAGUAGAGAACCCCAAAACGGGCUCUCUCCGUAUAUGUGGACAGCUGACUUUUGGCAAAAGGCAAAGGUGGAGGAAAGAUAAGUUGUUUUAACAAAUAGGGUUGCUAAUCAGAUAUCCAUAAGCAAAAACAAAAAACAAAAAACACCAAAACUCUGAUUUAUCCCCCUCAUCAUAUACAAAAUGUAACCUAGAAUGGAUCACAUACUUGAAUGCAAAAUAUGAAGCCAUACAAAUUCCUGAAGAAAACAUGAAAGAAAACACGGGGCGGGGGGGGGGGAGUUGUGAACUUGGUUUGGGCAAAGAUUUCUAGAAAUGAUAUCAAAACCUUAGAAGCAAAAAAAUCCAUAAAUUGGACUUCAUCAACAUUAAAAACCUCUGUUCUCUGAGAGACACCAUUAGAGCAAUAAAAAAUGUCAUUCUAGAAAUGACAUCAAAACCCUAGAAGUAAAAAACAAAAACAACCCAUAGAUUGGACUUCAUCAGCAUUAAAGUCUUCUGUUCUUUGAGAGACACCAUUAGAACAAUAAAAAGACAAACUACAGGGUAUGAUAGAGCACUCUCAAUCACAUAUCUGAUAAAGUGUUUCUAGAAUAUAGAGGUUUCAAAUUUUAAUAAUAAAAACACAAAUCAACCAAUAGAAAACGCAGGUAAUUUGAAGAGACAUUUCACCAAAAGAGAUACACAGAUGGCAAAUAAGCGCAUGAAAAAAUGCUCAGCAUCAUUAGUCAUUAGGGAAAUGGGACUUAAUGCCACAGCGAGCUAGCACUAAUCACCCAUUAGAAUAGUCGAAACGAACAAGACUGACCAUACCAAGUGUCGGUGAGGAUGUUGUAAAAUCAGAACUCUUGUUACACUGCUGAUUUGAAAAAUAGUUUAGCGGUUUCUUAAAAAUUUAAACAUGCACCUGUUGUACAAACCAGCCAUUCUACUCCUAGGGAAAUGAAAGCAUAUGUCCAUCCAAAAAACCUGUACUCGCAUGUUCGUAACAGCUUUAUGUUGAAUAGCAACCGACCUACCACAAUGCAAAUGUCCAUGGAGGGGAGGGUGGAUACACAUAGUGGUAUAUCCAUAGGACAGGAUAAUUACUUAGCAAUAGAAAGGAAUGAGCUACUGAUACACAUGGCAACAUGGAUGAGUCUCAAAAUAAUUAUGCUGAGUGAAAGAAGCCAGACAUAAAAAGAGAAGGUGAGUGAUAAGACCCAUGUGAGUCAGUGUAUACAAAACUCUAGAAACUGUAAACUGAUCUGUGGAGCCAGAAAGCAGAUCAGUGGUUGCCUGGGUACAGGGGCAAGGGGUGAGUAGGAGGAAGUACAGAGUCAGGAGGAAACUUCUGGGAGCAAUGGAUGGGCUCACGACCUUGACUGUGGUGAUGGUUUCAGAGGUGUGUAUGUGGGUGAAAACUUAGCACAAUAUGCUCUUCAAAUGUAUGUGAUUUGCUGUGUCUAAAUUACACCUCAAUAAAGCAGUUGUGUGUGUGUGUUUUUAAAGAAGGUAGUGAGGCAGAAGGGACAGAAACGUGCUCCAGGCAGAGGUAACAGUCUGUGCAGAGGCCCAGAGAUGAGGACAGGAGGGGUUCUAAGAAGCGAGAAGGUUCUGCAUGGCUGGAGAACAUGGCAGGAAGUUGAGAGUGGGGAGACAUGAAGCUGAUUAUUGGUCCCUUGUGAUCUGCUUAUAAUUUGUUUUGUGUCUCCUUCAGGGUCUCUGGGAAGUUUUGGACAGUGCCCAGGCCUGCCCCACUGUGAUCCCGUUUUUUCUGCUUCUUCCAGGCUCCCAUGACAUUCAGCCAUUCCAUGGAGAUGUUCAAGUGAGCCCGUUCCUGAAGGUUGGGGUUUGGAAUGGUUAGGCAGGGCUUGAGGGAAGGAGGCUGUCAGCUGGAAGGGGAAGGGGGAAGGUGCCCAGCAUCACGAAUUCGGAGGCUGGAAGGGGUUAGUUGGGGGGGGGUUUAGGGAAAUGGACCCCUGACCACGUUCCAGAGUUGCUUCAGAGACUCCUUCCCAGCCCCGUGGGGAUCUGUCUUCAUCAAUUCGCAAAAGCCAGUGUGCAGAGAAUUUGCAGAACCAGGUCUGGUUUGCUGAAUGAAUUGUCGGACACACAUCUUAGUGGAUCUAGCAGAGUUCUCUGCUGCAAUGUCAAGUGCAAAGGCUGAGUGGGGACGCAGAGGCACUCAGCAAGCAGAGUUUGAGACAGCCAUGCAUUUGCAUGAGAAGGGCUGAAGCAGGGCAAAGAGUAGAAUAGAAUUAAAACUUCCAGAACAUCCCUCUGUAGCUAAGUUAGCUGAUCACUCACUGGGCUGAUCUUCCCCAACCUGAUUUUUGCAAAUCAGCCUGCUGCCCCUGGGAGGAGCUGACAAGCAUGUGAUCCCCUGGACAGGGUUGGGAGUGGGGUGUCAUCUGGAGCCCACUGUGGGCCUAGGCUGUGCCCGGGCCUAGGGGGUACCCGAUGAAGGCAGAGAGAGGGGGCAAAAGGACAAGGCAGGAUCUUGCAUGGGGCUGAGAAGACAAGAAAAGUCAAUAUUCAAUAUGGUCAGCAAACAAGAUGGUCUAAGAAUGAACCACAGUGGAGCAACAUAAAAGAUGAUACGGGGGGUUAGCAGAGGGAAACUGGGCCAGAGGGGGAAGGUCUCUGUGAAUGUCUUUUUGGGGAAAGAGGAUUGAAAUGGGCCUACCAGAUGAAUUUAGAUUUGGAUAAGGACAGGAAAGAAGGAUAUUCCAGGCAGAGGGAAAGGCCCCGAGCUGUAGGUAAGGGAUGAGACGGACAAUGGCCAGGAUGUUCUGUAUCAUGUCAGUGUUUGGUAGAACUCAUUUCCAAACGGUCCUGAAUAAUAUUAAAACCACUGCUUGAUAAAUGGUAUGCGGCCAGUUUGGAAAGGCCAACAGUGGUUGAGAUUAUGGAUGUUAGGGUUUGCAAGCUUGUUAAUGUGUUUUCUAGUGAUUUUUCCACCACGCGUGUAUAUUACUUGUGCAUUUCAAAAAUGUUAUGAAUCUGCAAACUAACAAACCUACCCCGUUUCCCUUUACCCUAAGAAAAGACCAGGCCUUCCUGGGACGGUAGGUGGAGGACAGACCAGCUCUCCCUGAGAGUUGCAAGCCCACAGGAUGUCCAGCCUCCAUCUGUCCAGGGCUUCCCGGGGGCCUUGCAUGCUCCUACCGGGCCAUAGGCUUGACUGGACACAGGCCAGAGGAGGGAGAACCUGCUCGGGCUGGCAUCGCAAGGUGCCAGGCGCACCUGAGCAGCCGGGCAGGUGUGACAGAUGCCCUGGACCGCAUGGAGCUGGCUAUGCCUUGUGCACACACCACCGUCCCAUCCCACCUCCCCUCCCCGAACCUCCCUCUGCUUCCCGGCUAGCUCAGGUGUGGUGCAUCUGUGGCCCAUUGGCAGCUUUCUUGCCCGCAGUGCUAGGGAGCUGUCAGGUUAAAAGCUGGCUUGCUCGAUUUGAUCCCACAUGUGAGCUGUUUUAUUUCCCUCUCUCUCCCUUACAUGGCUUCGGUGUGCUUUUAUAAAUAUUUCACUAGCCUUGCUAAAGUCUAUUUCAUCUCUCUCUUAAAUUUAUUAAAUAUAAAUGCAGCAACAACUCCAGCAUAAGUCUCUCUUUGCUGUCAAAAUCUCAGGCUCCCGUGGAAGUAAAUAUAAUUUGCUUUGUUUACUGUGGGUAAUUUGGAGCCCUAUCUUCUGUACCAGCACCACCCGUACCCCCCAAAUCUCCCUGCUUUCGUUUAGCAGGGGUCUGCCACAUCCUCAUGUAGGGCACAGGGACCCGGGCCCACUUUGAAGACUGCUUGACAAAGAACCAGCUGACCUUUGAGACUUGCCGAACCGGAGGCCGGUCUGCUGGUCUCCCAAAGGCACUGCCACGGGUAAAGGGGCACCUAUACUCGUCACCCCACACCUGAGCAGGCCCGGAGGCCUGUCUGAGCUGUGCCUUGCCCCUUGCAUCUUUUGGAGAGCAUGCCCAUCUGCCACAGCUGGUGACCUGGCCAGAAGAGACGCAGCCGGCUGUGAGAUGAUUGAGGGCGUUGACAUUCCUCCCACCCCCAGACCUCCAGUCAACAGAACCAGGGGCAGGACAGGGAUUCUGGUCCCCAAAAGCAGGUCGCAAGCACCACCCCCCAAGCCCCCCUGCCACUUCCUUUGUUCUUUGUUAAUUGCAAAAUAAACACAACCCUGCCCACC
rnacentral:lncRNA from 1 species